CCUAGUAUGGUCAUUAUAUACAUCUACAUGAUGUAUUGUUACACCAUGUAGGAGCAGUAUAGACCUAGUCUGUUCAUUAUAUACAUCUACACACAUCUUUAUCAAGGGUAUCUAUAAAUAGGUGCUUAUGUUGAUAUCUAGUUAUUUGACUGAAUCAGAAAUACAGAUGUGUAGUAGAUGUUGAGUUUAUUUUAAAUUCUCAUAAAAGAUCUGAACUAAUCAAACAACACUUGUUGCUCUUUGUACGUGUUUAUAUAAUAUUCAUAUUUAAUGGAGAGAAAAAAACGUUUCCCUAAACUGCUUUAUAAUAUUAUAAUUCUCGACCAUGAGCUCACAAAGCUACUCUCCUGCUAAAGAAGAGCAGGUCUGCUGGACGGAGAAAGAAGCUCUCGUGACAGAGGAGGAGAAAGAGGAAGCUGUUACAAUACAAAAACAAGUAGAGAGUGAGGCUGUCACAGUGAAAGAAGAAGAGAAAGACUCGUUCAGAGUGAAAGAGGAUGUUACUGUGAAAGAAAAGGAGGAAGAUGCAGUUUUUGGAGUGGAGGAUGAAAUGAAAGAAGAUGAAAACGUUUUAGGAAUGAAGGAUGAAGAGGGGGAGGUUACUGUCACAUUUAGAGGAGGACGAAGAAGAGAAGACUGGAGAUCUGAUUCACACCAGUAAAUACAGAGUGAGUGAUGUCAUAGUAAGACCUUCAACGAGUUGGCUUGAUGGGAAGUCGGGAUGUCAUCCAAUAGGAGAGAGACGGGACUAUCGUGGAUCCUCUGGGGAUCCUAAAUAACAUCAUGAUGCUGACGAGGCAGAGAAGAGUCUCUCCAGAUCAGAACUUCUCAAGAAACACCAGCAGAGACCCACAGGGAAUAAAUCGAAUUGCUGCUCUGACUUUGGGAAAUGUUUCAUAAGAUCUAAUUCACUAAAAGUACACCUGAGAAUUCACACUGGAGGGAAAUCUCACUGCUGCUCUGACUUUGGGAAAAGAUUCAAUUCUCCAGUUAGACCUUAACAUAUAUAAAAUAAUUCACACUGGAGAGAAACCUUUUGUCUGUGAUCACUGUGGGAAAAGUUUUAUUCGGCUAAAAACUCUGAAAACACACCAGAGAAUACACACAGGAGAGAAAUCUUAUAGCUGUAAUCAAUGUGGGAAGAGUUUUUCUACAUCUAGUUAUCUAAGGAUACACCAGAGAACACACACAUGAGAGAAACCAUAUAGCUAUAAUCAAUGUGGGAAGUGUUUCACUCAGCUAAAUAGCCUGAUAGUACACCAGAGAACACACACAGGAGAGAAAUGUUUUACUACAUCUAGCCAGCUGACUUUACACCAGAGAACACACACUGGUUAGAAAUAUUAUAGCUGUGAUCAAUGUGGGAAGGGUUUUUCUCGGCCAGACAGCCUGAAUAUACACAAGCGGACACACACAGGAGAGAAAUCUUAUAGCUGGAGUCAAUGUGGGAAGGGUUUUACUUCAUCUACAUUUACAUUUACAUUUACAUUUAACAUUUAAGUCAUUUAGCAGACGCUCUUAUCCAGAGCGACUUACAAAUUGG